GAAUUUUAUAUAGAUUUAUUUUAGAGAAAAAAUAAAAUUAAUUUAAUAAUAAAUUUUAUAUUUAAUUGGGAGGAUUAUUAAAUUAAUAAAACUUUAAUUAUAAAAUACAUAAAUGAAUGGGAGAAUAUAAGUAAAAAGAAUGAUUAGUAAAUUAAAAAAAAAUUAAUUACCUUAGGGAUAACAGCGUAAUAUUUUUAGAUAGAUCAUAUAUAUAAAAAUGAUUGC
rnacentral:rRNA from 1 species